GAUGAACGCUGGCGGCGUGCUUAACACAUGCAAGUCGAACGGACGGAAUGGAGCUUGCUCCAUGAAGUUAGUGGCGGACGGGUGAGUAACGCGUGGGUAACCUGCCCUAUGCAGGGGGAUAACGUUUGGAAACGAACGCUAAUACCGCAUAACCUAGUUGGGUCGCAUGACCUGAUUAGCAAAGAUUUUAUCGGCAUAGGAUGGACCCGCGUUGGAUUAGCUAGUUGGUGAGAUAAAAGCUCACCAAGGCGACGAUCCAUAGCCGGCCUGAGAGGGUGAACGGCCACACUGGGACUGAGACACGGCCCAGACUCCUACGGGAGGCAGCAGUGGGGAAUAUUGCACAAUGGGCGCAAGCCUGAUGCAGCGACGCCGCGUGAAGGAUGAAGGUUUUCGGAUCGUAAACUUCUAUCAGCAGGGAAGAAAGAAAUGACGGUACCUGACUAAGAAGCCCCGGCUAACUACGUGCCAGCCGCCGCCGUAACAC
rnacentral:rRNA from 1 species